GACACAGGCAUCUUUCCUAGGGCCGUGCCUCUCCCGAGCCGCCACUUCCGUGACUAGCAGAGGCUAUCAAAUUCCAGAGGAAAAUGUAAACCUGCCUCAGUUCGGAUGACUGGAAGCCCACAAAGCUGCAGCUCCAUGAGAGAAAUCCAAAUGACCUAAGGGACAAGACAGCAUUUGCUGAGGCCCCCAGCAAGGGUUCCUGUCCUGGAGGCACACAAGCUACAGAAAAAGUCACUACAAUGGUUAGCUGGAACCUGCCUCACCCUCAGAAAUCUAUUCAUGCACUGUGCCUGAGACAACCCCAUCUACGGGCAUGAUCCCCCAAACCCUACAGCCUCCAGGGACGGGGUGGAGCAUACGAUCAGCACGCAGCCAGCAUGCAGCACUGUGCAUGUGAGGACUUGGGCGAGGUCUUUCCCUCAGGCCGGGGUUCCAGGAGACCCAAACUUCUGCUAAGCUGAUGACUAACGCAGGCUGUAUUAACUUCAAGGCUGA
rnacentral:lncRNA from 1 species